AUACUUACCUGGCAGGGGCAAUACCAUGAUCAAGAAGGUGGUUUGCACAAAGCGAGGCUCAGCCAUUGCACUCAGGCUGUGCUGACCUUUGCGAAUUCCCCAAAUGUGGGAAUCUCGACUGCAUAAUUUCUGAUAGUGGGGGAUUGCGUUUGCGCUUUCCCCUG